rnacentral:rRNA from 1 species
AUUCAUAAUAACUUAGCGAAUCGCAUUAGCCUUUGUGCUGGCGAUGGUACAUUCAAAUUUCUGCCCUAUCAAUUUGAUGGUAGGAUAGAGGCCUACCAUGGUUUUUACGGGUGACGGAGAAUUAGGGUUCGAUUCCGGAGAGGGAGCCUGAGAGAUGGCUACCACUUCUAAGGAAGGCAGCAGGCGCGCAAAUUACCCAAUCCUGAUACAGGGAGGUAGUGACAAGAAAUAACAAUACAGGUCCCAAUACGGGCCUUGUAAUUGGAAUGAGUACAAUUUAAACCCCUUAAUGAGUAACAAUUGGAGGGCAAGUCUGGUGCCAGCAGCCGCGGUAAUUCCAGCUCCAAUAGCAUAUAUUAAAUUUGUUGCAGUUAAAAAGCUCGUAGUUGGAUCUCGGAACAGGGAAUAACUGGUCUGCCGGUUGGUAUGUACUGUUGUUCCGUUCUCUACUGAUGGAAACUUAUCUCUACUCUUAAAUGAGCGGAGAGUAGAUCAGUAGAAUGAUA